rnacentral:tRNA from 1 species
GGGGAUGUAGCUUAGUUGGUUAAGUGCUUGCCUGACAUGCAUGAAGCCUUGGAUUCUACCCCCAACACCA